GUCUUUUGGUUAUUUAUAAGGUGUAUUUUUAUUAAAAUGUUUAAAAGUUGUUUAAAAUAAAAAAAGUUUGAGGCCUUUUUAAUAAAAAAAAGACCUCGAACAUGGAGCACAAAGGGGUGUAAGUCUAUAAGAAAAAAAAAGAAUUUUUUUUCCUAUGAUGAUCCUUCCGCAGGUUCACCUACGGAAA
rnacentral:misc_RNA from 1 species